CGCCAUGUAUUUCGUGUGCUAACUAAGCGCAGCGUCGUCGGUACGUCUGUACGUCCGUCGCUGCUUCAACGACGAGUAGAUCACAUUGCACAUUUCCAUUUGUAUUGAGUAAUCAUGUAAUCUAAAGUGCAUACACUGGCGUGUGGUGGUGGGGCUUGGUGUGUGUUGUGCGCCAUACUUGCUGGACUCCGACCGUGGCGUUUGCAUAGUCACGCGUCAGGGCCGCACUCUCACUCCGCAUGGGUCCAUUGCUUAAUCGAGGCUGCGCGACGGCAGCAAGCGUACUCGUAUCGUUAGUUCGGUUUCUUGGCGUAUGCGCCGUCGAACACCGUUAGCGUGUAUAAGAACGUUGAAAGCAACUCCAGCAGCGUGGCGUAACUAAUUACAUGUAGCACAAAGCUAUAUGUUUUGCGUUAAUUGGCGUUUAGCGAAUAUAAUUUAGUAUUAUCCAACGAAAAGUUGCGGAGCUAAGGUUAAUCAAGAAUUGCUGCUAACAAUGAGCAGUAUAAGGCGGUGCGCAUAGCAUGGAUACAGAAUGCCUCUAACUUUGCUUCCUUGGGUGACCAGGGCGUAUACGUAACUACUUAUUAAGUACACAGGAAUGUACAUAAUAUGAGUGUUUGCUAAAAGAUUUUGCACAUAACCGAAUGCAAGGACUUGGAAAGUGAUUACAACGAAAUGUUAACAUUUGAUUUUCAAUAUACAAUAUUUACUUCCCUUUCACAGAAUUCAAUCAGAAAGCUUCCAUAAAUUAAUAUGAAUUAAUGUUAAUUGUGCAUACAUAUUUUUUAUUAUAUUUGCGAUAUGUUAAUUAUGCCAACAAUAUGUUUGUAUAACAUAAUAUUUACAUACUGCAACAACUGAAUUUCGCAGUAAGCGCAACAAGUCGGCUAACAAAGCAACUUACAAUGGCACAGUGUUAGCUGCGACGCCAAUGGGCCACGUUGCUCGAAGCAUUCUCGGCAGCAACUUGAUGAAUGUCAAUCACACGUGAGAGCGAAUUGUGCAAAUACCCAAACGUGACUCAACGUGAUGAUGUUAAUCGCCUUCGCUCUCGACAGCCCCCCACAGCACAGCACAGGGUGGUGUGCCGUUGAACAUACACACAUACACGGUUACAAUUUGCUAUUUGCUCUGGAAGUGUGCUUACAUGUGUGUGUACACUUAAUUGUGGGAAUUUCAGUAGAAAAUAGUUUUCAUAUUUUUAUCUAACUAUGGAAGUAUGCUUGUAUGUAUAUGCUGCACAAGUAGGCGUGGUAGCACUGUAGACCACUAAAUCAACGUGAUAAUUCGCAGCAAAUAUUUGUUCUAAAUAAACAGUUAUCUAAUCUUAAGUUUUAUUUUGAAAAUAUGUAAAUAAUUGUAAAUUAAGUCAACAUUCUUAUGCAAUAGCAGAUAAUAUACAAAGUGGCACGCAUACACAAACAUAAAUGGGCGCAUAUAAUGUUGUAUGCAUAUGCGUAAUUGUAGAUAUGGUGAUGUUUAUAUAAAUCAUACAUACAUACAUAUUUAUGUAUUAUAUUCAAAUUAUUUGGAAAACAA